GCAUCAUCCACCAUGUAUAUUUUGCUUCUGCAUAAGCUUCAACCAGUUUUAUCUACAAUUGUCUUUAUUUUUGUCUCCAAUAUAUCUUAUUUGCUGGCUACGAAGUACCAGUUGAUAUAUCACUUGUAUUACUUUCCGGAUUGUCCGGCUGCCAAAUCCACAUUUCUCGCUCUACGGACAUGCCAAGGCAUCAUCCGCCAUGUAUAUUUUGCUUCUGCAUAAGCUUCCAUCAGUUUAAUCUACAUUGGUCUUCAUUUUCUCACAAGAUAUUUUUCUCCCAACGUACACAUUUCCUCUCCAAUUUAGUUUAUCUGUUGGUUACGAAGUACCAGCUGAUAUAUCACUUGUAUUAUUACUUUCCAGAUCAUCUGACAGGCUGCCAAAUCUACGCUUUUUUUUUCUCUAGGGCGUCUGUUCAGCCACAAUGGACUUUGAUUGUUGAAUACUCAAAAACUUCUUGCAUUCAUCAGAGCCAGCUCCAAAAAAGAGAGAUAAAAAAUGUCUAUCUUGGAGGCACAGAGUUAUUUGAGAAUGUCUUUUUGGGAGCACCUAUUUGGUGAAAAAGGUUUGUGGUUUGUUUCUCCACUCUUAUAUACAGUUUAAUUCAUCCUCCAAAUAAUUCGUCAUGGCUCAUUUGUACACACUACCAUACUACUUUUAGUUUCUGAAAAAAUACUCUCUUGUUGUUUAAAUGCUUUAGUGAUCAUCUUAUUAUCAAUUACUGCUGAUAAGCUGCUGUGCAAAUAAUCAAUAACUUCACCUGUUAUGGUAAGUUCGCUGGUCCCAGAUAUUCCUAAAAUGCUAAAUCAUUUGUUUGGUUGAUGUAGAUUUUAGUUUUUGUUUAUUGUCCGUAUUGAUAAUAGUAAUAGAAUUGUUGAACUUUCUUCCAAAACUAAAUUAUUAUCUCUUCUGAAGUUCAAGGUUUACCGACGAUGUCUCUUUUUGAAGUUACACCCGUGCAUCUGGAGGUCUGCUCUUUCAGUAUAACUAGAUGAUACCCCGCACGUUGUUGCGGGAUUGUUAGCUGCCAUUACCUUAUGGUGGAGAGAGAUGUUUGGAGAAGAGAAGGGGCAGCUCAUGGUGCUGCUGAGAUUCCGAUCAGAGGAGGGUCACGGCCACACAUAAUCCAAUCAAUUCGGAGGGGAUUAAGCGAGCAGCUAGAAUCCAAUAAAAUCCGCGCGUUGCUGCGGAAAUUUGAGUGGUACUCCUAUAGUAAGUAAGAUGAGGUCCAUUGUGGCAGGACAUUAGCAUGCCAAACUGAUUUGUGUAUAGUAAGAACAGAAAUAACAAAAAAGAAUAGCGGAAUAUCACUUAGAAAUCAACCUCAUUAGCUGACAUGACCAUGUGUGUCUAAAUAAUCUAACUUUUCGUCAGAUCUCAUACAACAAAUGUGAGGAAGCAGGGAGAAAAAAGAUUAAAGCAGCUAAUACAUUGCGAAAGCUAAUGAACUUAUCCUUAUAUUAACUUUUAUACAGAGCUUACAAAAUACUUUCAUAUUAUAUUUACUAUGAAUAGCUUAUACAUGAGAAGGUCUAUCUCUUUUGAGCUCCAACUACAUCGGAUAUGAAUCUCCCAACAUUAUGAGUUUGGAUAUGGAAGUUUGACAAACAAUUGGUUUUGCUGCUGCACCAUGAGGAGACUGCACACAUGACAUAUCAGCUCGAGAAACUGCAGUUCAGAUGACACAUUGUUACCCAACUGCAGAAUUAGUUAGGUGUAUACUACAUAUGUAGACGGCAAAAUUAAAGAGAUCAACCAAAAGUUAUAAGUAGUUUAAGUGGAAUUCAUAUCAAAGGUUUAUGGAAAAUGUAUUUUUCGUAUGAAAAACAAUCAUGCCUAGCAACAUCUUUAUAUAGAAAGAAAAGAAUAUACCAGACUUAAAUAGUAUGAUGCAUUCAAAUAUAAACCAGUAGUGGAAAAGUACACCAGGUUGCUUUGUCCAUUUGAUCUGUUCGUUGGAACUGAAUAUUAUUUGUCCAACUUCUCUUGUACACUCAUGAUCAAAGUUUGUAGUUAGAGCAUCAGCAUCGUGUGAAUCUACAGAAUUACAUGAAGAACUACUUCCCUGACUUGGACGUAAUACUUUUUCUGAUGGAGAUUGUGAGAUAUUGAGAAAUAUCACGCCUUCUGCAUACUUUGCACAAACAGCUACAACGGAAAUAGAUUUAUUUACAUAAUCAACCAAAGUAACAAUAUUGAUGGAAAUUAAGAUUAUACUACCGUCAUCAAGUCAGAAUUACCUAGCCGGCUACUUGAGAAUCAGCAAUGUCAAGAUUUUGGUGAAAAGCCAAAAUAAACAGUCUAACAUCAGAUAAAUUGACGACGCUUGAUGAUUCAAUGACAGCGUAUAUUUCAUUCUUGUUGAAUCUGAAUGGGUCGACUUGCUGUAGAGAAAAACACAUAUAAUAUGUUACCAAUGUAAGCCUGUACAAAUGUAUAAGAUCUCAUGGUGUACUGACAUGUCUUUUGCAUAACAUGGAACCAGAUAAUCUGCACCAAAGAUGGACAUCAAUUUCUGAAUGUGCCAAAAAAUUCUAUACAUCAGAAUUCAAAUGAAGAAAGACUGAAAAUGGACCAUGAACAUCAAUUACAGUGAAGUAUGCAAAGCUUGAUUGCAGAAAAUAGAGGAAACAAUUUCCUGCAAUAUACCUGAGUCUUAGAUUCCUUUGAUGGAUGUACAAUUUGGUAGAACUUUUUUUUCUGCAUUUUUAACUUCGAUUCCAUGAAAAGUGCAAAGAUACAUGAAAAUACUCACGAGAGACAUAUAAAAAUAAUAACAGGCCAGUCAUAGAAUAUUGUGGUGGUUAAGUAGAAAGAUAAUGGAGGAGGAUUGGAUUGGGGGAAUCGGGAGUUCUUGACUAACCGUAUACACUGCAGGCAAAAGUGGUGGCACCAGAUCCGUCCCAUUCAGCACGCGCGGCACCAUUUUGUGAUAAAUGUGAAUCAGACGAUGGAGCUGGAAAACCAUCCAACGAAUUAGCUUUCCAGGGGAGGACUUCAAUGAAUUACCUUAUUGUGGAGAGAGAUGUUUGGAGGAGAGAAGGGGCGGCCCAUGGUGCUGCUGAGAUUCCGAUCAGAGGAGGGUCACGGCCACACAUAAUCCAAUCAAUUCGGAGGGGAUUGAGCGAGCAGCUAGAAUCCAAUAAAAUCAAAUCAAACCGGAUGGAUGGAUGUGAGCAAAAUGUGGAGCAGAUUUCGAGCUGGGCCAACCUGUCAAAUUCAGAGACAUCUGUUGGGGGAGCUCCCAAAUCGGAGACUGGUGCUAGAGACGGUGACGCGAGCAGGCUGCAGGUAUGUAGGCUUUUAACAUGGGGGCGGCGACGGUAGAGUUCAGUCGAGCUGUUUGGGCGAUUUCAUGAGCAUUUGUUGCUAGUAACCCUUAGGUCGCGGCAAUGGAGUUAGUGCUCGUAAUUACAGAACACCACCGUGAAUACUGUAGGAACAAUGAAUUUUAUUUGGAAGACUAAACGCUAGCAACCCUGCGCUAGCCCAGGGAAAGAUGUCCACCGGCCCACGUACAUCGGUCAGCGCUGCGGGAAAGCGCUGCGAAGAAAAGAGAGACACGGGAGGCAGGCGUGUCGGUCUGGGAGCAGAUAGGUGAAUUUUUUUAAUAGGGUGACGUGGCUCACUGUGAGACCAGCAAAAUGGGGUCAUCUAUUAAGAAAGAGAAGAUUGCUCAAGCUCUUCGCCAAGCAUGUCUUGCUUUUGUAGCUAUUUUCAAUUUAUGUUGCAAAAUGCUGCAAAAUGUAAACAUGUACAUAUUCUUUUGUAAUACGUUCUGGUUGCUUCGCGCUCCAUAAUUUCA